CACGAAGGGCAAUGCGGUUGGCUGCAAAGCCAGGGGUAAGCGAUUCUCUCACAAACACAUCCUGAAAACAGACUGUUGCGCCCUCUCUGACAUGUUUUAUAAGGCCUCCUGCACAGAAAGCACACAUAACCACAGAAUUCCUUACCAGGAGCAUUCCGUGGGGUUAAGGGCAUGCCUCGUAGGUAUCGCCUCCUGAUCGAAUCUUCUGCUUGUCUUAGAACACUCCGGUGGCAGCAGCGCCUCACCAUGGCCCAGUGUGUGAGUCUUCUGGUCUUUCUCCAUGGAGUGCUUGCAUUUCAGACAAAAGGGGUGCUUGGUUUGUCGGAGGAGAGCAGUGACAGCAGUCGUGGAUACAAGAAAAGCUACUAUAUAUUUCAGAUGCUGCCAAUUCAAAACUUGAAGGGGAGACCAGAGAAUGCCUUUGACAGGAAGGCAGCUGACCCGCCAGCUCUGUGGCCUUCCAGUGUUUUGGGAGCAAGAGAUGUCAUUAGACCCGCCGUCAGCCCCGUGGCAAGUGUCCGGCUUCGGCCAGUGCCCGUCACCCCUAGACAAAAUCCGUCCACGGUAGCUCCUCGCUGGUUGGGGAGCAGAGCUCUGAGAGGCCCUGUCCCCACACCUCUCACCCAGGCCAGGAUACCACAGACAAAGGGACUGGCCUCUGUACCUAGAAACCGGGGGACCCACUUCGCUGUGUCAGCCAGGUUUCCUCCGACACCCCGAGUUCUGACGACUGCGGGUCUCCCCACAAACGGAGCCCUUCACGGCACCAGUGUCCCCACCUCUCCCACAACUAAGGAGCCCCGAGGAGAUAUGUAAGCCGAUGUGGCAGUGCCCCCUUCUCUUGGCAGGGGACCCACGUCUGUCUGUGUUGCUGUCUGGGUGCGGAGAGCAACGUUUGGGAGAAGUGUUCACACUCUGGGGGCCCAGGCAAUCACCCCUGUGAUGUACCCUGGGAACCCGGCUCUAUUACGGGAUUCACCUCAAUCACCAACUCCUCUAGACGUGAAAUUCUCAAGAAGGAAGCUUCACGGCCCCCGAGAAAGUGAUUUUGUCACGUGCUCUGUGACUCUGAGGCAAUUCCUCACUCUUACCGAAAAAUCAAAUGGUGGGGUGGCUCAGUCGGUUGGGCGUCCGACUUUGGCUCAGGUCAUGAUCUCACGGUCUGUGAGUUCCAGCCCCGUCGGGCUCUGUGCUGAUGGCUCAGAGCCUGGAGCCUGUUUCAGAUUCUGUGUCUCCCUCUCUCUCUGACCCUCUCCCGUUCAUGCUCUGUCUCUGUCUCAAAAAUAAAUAAACGUUAAAAAAAAAAAAAAGAAAAAUC
rnacentral:lncRNA from 1 species